rnacentral:rRNA from 1 species
UACGAAGGGGGCUAGCGUUGCUCGGAAUUACUGGGCGUAAAGGGCGCGUAGGCGGACAUUUAAGUUAGAGGUGAAAGCCCAGGGCUCAACCCUGGAAUAGCCUUUAAUACUGGAUGUCUUGAGUUCGGGAGAGGUGAGUGGAAUGCCGAGUGUAGAGGUGAAAUUCGUAGAUAUUAGGAAGAACACCGGUGGCGAAGGCGGCCAUCUGGCUCGGUACUGACGCUCAGGCGCGAAAGCGUGGGGAGCAAACAGG